GGUGUGGCAUGGAGUGGCAUGGUGCAUAUCCUUCCCAAGACAUUAUAGCAGGAAAACCACGGAUUUAAACACCGUGAACAUUAACUCUUCACCUGGACCUACAGAUGCCCAUUAGAGUCUGGCACAAGCCAGCAGCAGAAGACAGAGGCCAGCGGUG